AUUGAACGCUGGCGGCAUGCCUUACACAUGCAAGUCGAACGGUAACAGGUCUUCGGAUGCUGACGAGUGGCGAACGGGUGAGUAAUACAUCGGAACGUGCCUAGUAGUGGGGGAUAACUACUCGAAAGAGUGGCUAAUACCGCAUGAGAUCUACGGAUGAAAGCAGAGGAUCGCAAGACCUUGUGCUACGAGAGCGGCCGAUGGCAGAUUAGGUAGUUGGUGGGAUAAAAGCUUACCAAGCCGACGAUCUGUAGCUGGUCUGAGAGGACGAUCAGCCACACUGGGACUGAGACACGGCCCAGACUCCUACGGGAGGCAGCAGUGGGGAAUUUUGGACAAUGGGCGCAAGCCUGAUCCAGCAAUGCCGCGUGCAGGAGGAAGGCCUUCGGGUUGUAAACUGCUUUUGUACGGAACGAAAAGCCCUGGGUUAAUACCCUGGGGUCAUGACGGUACCGUAAGAAUAAGCACCGGCUAACUACGUGCCAGCAGCCGCAGUAA
rnacentral:rRNA from 1 species